rnacentral:rRNA from 1 species
GUAGGGGGCGAGCGUUGUCCGGAUUCAUUGGGCGUAAAGAGCUCGUAGGCGGCUUGGUAAGUCGGGUGUGAAACCCCCAGGCUCAACCUGGGGCAGCCACCCGAUACUGCUAUGGCUUGAGUCCGGUAGGGGACCACGGAAUUCCUGGUGUAGCGGUGAAAUGCGCAGAUAUCAGGAGGAACACCGGUGGCGAAGGCGGUGGUCUGGGCCGGCACUGACGCUGAGGAGCGAAAGCGUGGGGAGCAAACAGGAUUAGAUACCCUGGUAGUCCACGCCGUAAACGUUGGGCGCUAGGUGUGGGGCCUAUCAACGGGUUCCGUGCCGCAGCUAACGCAUUAAGCGCCCCGCCUGGGGAGUACGGCCGCAAGGCUA